rnacentral:tRNA from 1 species
GCCUGGGUGGCUCAGUUGGUUGAGCGUCUGACUUCGGCUCAGGUCAUGAUCUCGCAGUUCGUGAGUUUGAGCCCCACGUCGGGCU